rnacentral:rRNA from 1 species
GACGGAGGAUGCAAGCGUUAUCCGGAAUGAUUGGGCGUAAAGCGUCCGCAGGUGGCAGUUCAAGUCUGCUGUCAAAGACCGGGGCUUAACUUCGGAAAGGCAGUGGAAACUGAACAGCUAGAGUAUGAUAGGGGCAGAGGGAAUUCCUGGUGUAGCGGUGAAAUGCGUAGAGAUCAGGAAGAACAUCGGUGGCGAAGGCGCUCUGCUGGACCAUAACUGACACUCAGGGACGAAAGCUAGGGGAGCGAGUGGG